rnacentral:RNase_P_RNA from 1 species
UGGACUGGCUUGCCGCUGGCCUCCCAUCGGAGGCGAGAGGAAAGUCCGGGCAACACAGGGCAUUCCGCUUCCUAACGGGAAGAGGCUCGCGAGGGUCAGACCGUGCAGAAGAGAACAACCGCCUAAGCAGCCGCAAGGCUUGCCGGCAAGGGUGAGAAGGCGGGGUAAGAGCCCACCAGGCCCGUGGUGACACGUGGUGCUGUGCACUCCGGAAGUUGAAAGUUCAUGUAAACCGGCGAAGAAAAAGAGAGGGCGGCCCGUCCGAGCCGGAGGGUGGAACGAUAGAGACCAUGCGGUGACGCUGGCCGUAGAUAAAUGGCAGGCACCUGCCCGCAAGGACAGGAACAGAACCCGGCUUACAGGUUCACUGU